rnacentral:tRNA from 1 species
GGGAUCGUAGAUCAGCUGGGAGAUCACCUGCCAUUCACGCAGGAGGCCAUGGGUUCGAAGCCCUUCGUUCCA